UAACCUAUACUAGUGUUUUCUUUGAACAGAAAGAAAACAGUACAGCCAGUCUUGAUUUAAUUGUGGCACUUCCUAUAAUCUACCUAGUCCAAAACAACAACAAAAAAUUUCAAAGUUCAGUACAGUUCCCCAUGAAAUGAAAGUUGCAUCAGUGGCUAUCAAGAACUCAAAAGAAAAUACAAACAUUAAGUCUGGCAAGGAUUUAUUAGGAAGCUUAUUAGUCACAGUGAAUAAAAGCCAUGAAAAGAAGAACUCAAAUCUCCAAAUUCUGGCAUCGGACUUACAACACUAGUUAGAAGCUAAUAAACAUUAAGGAAUUUCCAAGGGGAAUCUUAACUAAGUCUCAAUCUUACUGACCAGAUUACCCACACACAUAGAAAUGAUCCCCAUGCUCUCCCCAGACUGCUUAGCUAGGCAGUGGAAAAGACCUUCUCCCCAAGCUUAAGCUAUCACGCAUCAGCAGGAGACUCCUGUCCUUCUAGCUAUAACCACAGGACACAUGUGCGUGACAGACAACUCCAAGCUGGGCAACUUGACAAGAAUGCUGAACAAUGAGAGGGGAAAGGAGCAAGCAGGAACAAGUGUUUUAGUUGGAGACCCUCCUGAUGGCUACUACUAACACAAUCCGGAGGCAUCAGAAAGUUUCCUAUAGCCCACAAAUAGUUUCCUUUAAAAAAACAAAAACAAAAACAAAAAAACAAGUCACACAACAAUCUUGCCACAAAGCAACAUGACACUUGGAAUCACAUGGCCACAUUAACUGGAAAAGCAAGUGUUACCCAUGACUGCCAGAUGCCACCCAGCCCAAGACCCAAUUUCCACAGCGCCCUAGAGAACCACGAUGGUCCCCUGGCACCUACACAACCCUCCCAGUGGUGUCGUAUCUUCCGUAGGCCAGGUUUCUGCAGCAAGCCCCAAAGACAAAGCUUGGCAGAGGCUGUGGCAGCCAACUCUCUCUGGAGCCUCAUCCCUUUGUCCUUCCCAACAGGUAGUCGUACAUCUUCACUGACACAGCGCCUCUAUGGGAGCCUUGGCCAGCCCUUAGGAAAUAAAGUGUGUCUGUGGGGUAACCUGAUGGACCCUAUGGUCUGCUGGGUUGGCAGAUGCUUCGUAAUUGCAGAUGGUCACCUCGUGUCG
rnacentral:lncRNA from 1 species